rnacentral:lncRNA from 1 species
UGGGAGCUGCUGGACCGUUGCUAUUUGCACCUCUCCAAGCUGCAAGAGCUGAUUUCUUCAAGCACCUGGACGUGGGCUGUCUUUGUGAUUUCUCCAAGCACCUCCCUUGCUGCCUUCUCUGCUGGACGCUACUAAUGAGGGAGUUGCAUGCUUGAUAUUUCUUGGACGAGUGCUGCAUCAUGAGCUGUUGUUGUGGGCCCGUCGCUCUCUUUAACACUGCUGGAAUGCGUGUGCUUGUUGUUGUUGGACCGAGUGAGGGCUGGAUGGGCCGUGGCUAUCCUAUGGAGCUCUCCUGAAGUUGCUGCAGUAUGUUGCACCGUGGUAGCUUUUUCUUUCUACGACCGUGAUGUUGGCCCAAGCUGCAGGACCACCUCUAAUGUGCUUCCAAAGCUGAACGUGAAGGUUGUUGUCUCAACCAGGUGCAGGCCAUGUGUUCCUUCUCGGUGGGUAGCUGCUGGACCAUCUUCCAUGUGCACCCAUCGUUGCCUUCUUAGAUGCAGCAGCAUGGACCUUCUUUUUGCUGCUGGGUUGCACCUCCCACUUGCAUGCUGCUGCCCUUUUAACUUUUUUUUGGUGGUUGCUG